AUUGAACGCUGGCGGCAUGCCUUACACAUGCAAGUCGAACGGUAGAGUAGCAAUACUCGAGAGUGGCGAACGGGUGAGUAAUAUAUCGGAACGCGCCCAGUCGUGGGGGAUAACGUAGAGAAAUUUACGCUAAUACCGCAUACGAUCUAAGGAUGAAAGCGGGGGAUUCGCAAGAACCUCGCGCGAUUGGAGCGGCUGAUAUCAGAUUAGGUUGUUGGUGAGGUAAAAGCUCACCAAGCCGACGAUCUGUAGCUGGUUUGAGAGAACGACCAGCCACACUGGGACUGAGACACGGCCCAGACUCCUACGGAGGCAGCAGUGGGGAAUUUUGGGACAAUGGGCGAAAGGCCUGAUCCAGCAAUGCCGCGUGCAGGAUGAAGGCCUU
rnacentral:rRNA from 1 species